AGUGAACGCUGGCGGCAGGCCUAACACAUGCAAGUCGAGCGGCAGCGGGUCCUUCGGGAUGCCGGCGAGCGGCGGACGGGUGAGGAAUGCGUCGGAAUCUGCCUUUUUGUGGGGGAUAACGUAGGGAAACUUACGCUAAUACCGCAUACGACCUACGGGUGAAAGUGGGGGACCGCAAGGCCUCACGCAGAAAGAUGAGCCGACGUCGGAUUAGCUAGUUGGCGGGGUAAAGGCCCACCAAGGCGACGAUCCGUAGCUGGUCUGAGAGGAUGAUCAGCCACACGGGAACUGAGACACGGUCCAGACUCCUACGGGAGGCAGCAGUGGGGAAUAUUGGACAAUGGGCGCAAGCCUGAUCCAGCCAUGCCGCGUGUGUGAAGAAGGCCUUCGGGUUGUAAAGCACUUUUGUCCGGAAAGAAAUCCUGUCGGCUAAUACCCGGCGGGGAUGACGGUACCGGAAGAAUAAGCACCGGCUAACUUCGUG
rnacentral:rRNA from 1 species